AUUGAACGCUGGCGGCAGGCUUAACACAUGCAAGUCGAGCGGGGUGAUGGUGCUUGCACUAUCACUUAGCGGCGGACGGGUGAGUAAUGCUUAGGAAUCUGCCUAUUAGUGGGGGACAACGUCUCGAAAGGGAUGCUAAUACCGCAUACGUCCUACGGGAGAUAGCAGGGGAUCACUUGUGACCUUGCGCUAAUAGAUGAGCCUAAGUCGGAUUAGCUAGUUGGUGGGGUAAAGGCCUACCAAGGCGACGAUCUGUAGCGGGUCUGAGAGGAUGAUCCGCCACACUGGGACUGAGACACGGCCCAGGCUCCUACGGGAGGCAGCAGUGUGGAAUAUUGGACAAUGGGGGGAACCCUGAUCCAGCCAUGCCGCGUGUGUGAAGAAGGCCUUAUGGUUGUAAAGCACUUUAAGCGAGGAGGAGGCUCUUUUGGUUAAUACCCAAGAUGAGUGGACGUUACUCGCAGAAUAAGCACCGGCUAACUCUGUGCCAGCCGCCGCUGUAA
rnacentral:rRNA from 1 species